UACGGAGGAUGCAAGCGUUAUCCGGAAUGAUUGGGCGUAAAGCGUCCGCAGGUGGCUAUGUAAGUCUGCUGUUAAAGAGUGAGGCUCAACCUCAUAAGAGCAGUGGAAACUACAUGGCUAGAGUGCGUUCGGGCGAGAGGGAAGUUACCUGGUGUAGCGGUGAAAUGCGUAGAGAUCAGGAAGAACACCGGUGGCGAAAGCGCUCUGCUAGGCCGCAACUGACACUCAUGGACGAAAGCUAGGGAG
rnacentral:rRNA from 1 species